GGCAGAUGAUGUCGGUUUUCACGAUGGUCUUCAGAUGCCCACGUGGGCACUGCUGAGAAAGCCACUUGGUUAAAACUGAUGCCGGAAA
ensembl:snoRNA SNORD35B small nucleolar RNA, C/D box 35B